AUUGAACGCUGGCGGCAUGCCUUACACAUGCAAGUCGAACGGCAGCACGGGGCAACCUGGUGGCGAGUGGCGAACGGGUGAGUAAUGCAUCGGAACGUGCCAUUGAGUGGGGGAUAACGUAGCGAAAGUUGCGCUAAUACCGCAUAUUCUGUGAGCAGGAAAGCAGGGGGACCGCAAGGCCUUGCGCUCUUUGAGCGGCCGAUGUCAGAUUAGCUAGUUGGUGAGGUAACGGCUUACCAAGGCGACGAUCUGUAGCGGGUCUGAGAGGAUGAUCCGCCACACUGGAACUGAGACACGGUCCAGACUCCUACGGGAGGCAGCAGUGGGGAAUUUUGGGACAAUGGGCGCAAGCCUGAUCCAGCCAUGCCGCGUGAGUGAAGAAGGCCUU
rnacentral:rRNA from 1 species